UUCCGGUUGAUCCUGCCGGAGGUUACUGCUAUCGGGGUUCGAUUAAGCCAUGCAAGUUAAAUGUUUUUCGUAAACAUAGCGAACUGCUCAGUAACACGUGGAUAACUUAACCUUAGGUCCGGCAUAACCCCGGGAAACUGGGGAUAAUUCCGGAUGUAUCAAGGAUGCUGGAAUGCCCUUUGGUUCAAAGUUUUUGUGCCUAAGGAUAGGUCUGCGGUCUAUCAGGUUGUAGUGGGUGUAACGUACCUACUAGCCGACGACGGAUACGGGUUGUGAGAGCAAGAGCCCGGAGAUGGAUUCUGAGACAAGAAUCCAGGCCCUACGGGGUGCAGCAGGCGCGAACACUUUACAAUGCGGGAAACCGCGAUAAGGGAACCCCGAGUGCCAGUACUAAGUGCUGGCUGUCUAGAUGAAUAGAUAUCAUUUAAUAGCAAGGGCCGGGCAAGACCGGUGCCAGCCGCCGCGGUAACACCGGCGGCCCGAGUGGUAACCGAUAUUAUUGGGUCUAAAGGGUCCGUAGCCUGUUUAAUAAGUCCUUUGGGAAAUCUGGCAGCUUAACUGUCAGGCUGCUAAAGGAUACUGUUAAACUUGGGACCGGUAGACGUAGGGGGUACUCCAGGGGUAGGAGUGAAAUCUUGUAAUCCCUGGGGGACCAUCUGUGGCGAAGGCGCCCUACGAGAACGGGUCCGACGGUGAGGGACGAAAGCUAGGGGAGCAAACCGGAUUAGAUACCCGGGUAGUCCUAGCUGUAAACGAUGCUCGCUAGGUGUCAGGCACGGUGCGUCCGUGUCUGGUGCCGCAGGGAAGCCGUUAAGCGAGCCACCUGGGGAGUACGGUCGCAAGGCUGAAAUUUAAAGGAAUUGGCGGGGGAGCACUACAACGGGUGGAGCCUGCGGUUUAAUUGGAUUCAACGCCGGA
rnacentral:rRNA from 1 species